rfam:Pongo abelii chromosome 9.
CUUAAGAUGGCAGAGCCUGGCAAUAGCAUAAAACGUAAAACUUUACAAUCAGAGGUUCAACUCCCCUUCUUAACA